rnacentral:misc_RNA from 1 species
GGCUCUUCCACUAUCAUUAUUCGGUGAAGAAGAAAAUGCUGAGGAAGAAGAGAAAGAAAAGUCUGCUAAAGAGGAUACGAAUACUAAAGUAAGAAACGGAUCUAAUGCUAAUUUGGGUUAUGGAUUUGAUUCAACUAAAUCUAACUUAUACAAUCAGAAGUUGAAAUCUGAAAAUGGGCCACUUUCGAAUACCGGUAAUUUGGUAGGCCUAGAUAGUGUUAAUUCGAAUUCUAAA